CGGGGGUUACUGGUGCCAGUCCGCGGGGGUUACUGGUGCCAGUCCGCGGGGGUUACUGGUGCCAGUCCGCGGGGGUUACUGGUGCCAGUCCGCGGGGGUUACUGGUGCCGCAGCGGGGCCGUUACUGGCGCCAGUCCCCGCUACCCACUGGGAGCACCGAGCUGCGGAGCGCCGCCGGCUCGGGCCGGGGCCGCCAAGGACAGGACGUGGAGCGCGGCCGGGACCGGGAACCGGCGCAGCCCCGGGGGCAGCGGGACCGCCACCACGGCCCGGGGACAGCCCGGACAGUGCCACCACGGCCCGGGGACAGCCCGGACAGUGCCACCACGGCCCGGGAGCAGCGGGACCGCCACCACGGCCCGGGGACAGCGCGGGGACACGGGCUCGGGGACCUGGGAUUGGCCGCGUUUUUCCCCUCCAAACUCAGCAGCUUCUCAUGCCCUGCCGGGAACUCCUCCUGCUCCCUCAGCUACACCCCGGAGAUUCCCGAAAGGUUCCCGGGAGCCAACGGGCAGUGGAGGAGCUCCAAGCCCCGGGGGAAGAUCGGAAGAGCGUCGUGGGAAAUCUGAGGAAAUCUGGGGAGAUCCAGGGAAAUGUGGGGAGAUGUGGGGAAAUCCAGAGAGAUCCAGGGAAUUCGGGGAAAUCUGGGGAGAUCCAGGGAAAUCCAGGGAAAUCUGGGGAAAUGCAGGGAGAUGUGGGGAAAUCCAGGGAAAUAUGGGGAGAUCUGGGGAAAUGUGGGGAGUCCUGGGGAAAUGCAGGGAAAUCCAGAGAGAUCCAGGGAAUUUGGGGAAAUCUGGGGAGAUCCAGGGAAUUCGGGGAAAUCUGAGGAAAUCUGGGGAGAUCCAGGGAAAUGUGGGGAGAUGUGGGGAGAUCUGGGGAAAUGCAGGGAAAUCCAGAGAGAUCCAGAGAGAUCCAGGGAAAUUCAGGGAAAUCUGAGGAAAUCUGGGGAAUCCUGGGGAAGUGCAGGGAGAUCUGGGGAAAUGUGGGGAAAUCCAGAGAGAUCCAGGGAAUUCGGGGAAAUGUGGGGAGAUCCAGGGAAGUGCAGGAAGAUCCGGGGAAAUGCAGAGAAAUCCAGAGAGAUCCAGGAAAUUCGGGAAAAUCUGAGGAGAUCAGGGAGAUGCGGGGAAAUGCAGGGAAAUGUGGGGAGAUCCAGGGAAAUUUGGGAAGAUGUGGGGAAAUGCAGGGAAAUCGAGGGAAAUGUGAGGAAAUGCAGGGAGAUCCAGGGAAAUGUGGGGAGAUGUGGGGAGAUCUGGGGAAAUGCAGGGAAAUCCAGAGAGAUCCAGAGAGAUCCAGGGAAAUUCAGGGAAAUCUGAGGAAAUCUGGGGAAUCCUGGGGAAGUGCAGGGAGAUCUGGGGAAAUGUGGGGAAAUCCAGAGAGAUCCAGGGAAAUCUGAGGAAAUCUGGGGAGAUCAGGGAGAUGCGGGGAGAUCCAGGGAAAUUCGGAGAAAUGUGGGGAAAUCCAGGGAAAUGUGGGGGGAUCUAGGGAAAUCCAGAGAGGUCCAGGGAAUUCGGGGAAAUCUGGGGAGAUCAGGGAAAUGUGGGGAGAUCUGGGGAAAUGUGGGGAGAUCCAGGGAAAUUCGGGGAAAUCUGAGGAAAUCUGGGGAGCUCCAGGGAAAUGCGGGGAGAUCUGGGGAAAUGUGGGGAAAUGCAGUGAAAUCUGGGGAGAUCUGGGGAAAUGCAGGGAGAUGUGGGGAAAUCCAGGGAAAUGUGGGGAGAUCUGGGGGGAUCUGGGGGGAUCUGGGCAAAUCUGAGGAGAUCUGGGGAAAUCUGGGGAAAUUAGGGGAAAUUCAGGGAGAUGUGGGGAAAUGUGGGGAGAUCUGAGGAGAUCCAGGGAAAUGUGGGGAAAUCCCAGCAGUCUUGUGGGACUGGGGGGGGCUCAGGCAGAGCUGGGGGCGCUGCUGGGGUUAAACAAUGAAAUUCCUGGGCUUUUGCAGCCCUCAGUCCCG
rnacentral:lncRNA from 12 species